AGGACGAACGCUGCGGCGUGCUUAACACAUGCAAGUCGAACGAAGCAGCAGUGAAGGAGGCUUCGGCCAAUGGAUCUGCUGACUUAGUGGCGGACGGGUGAGUAACGCGUGAGCAACCUGCCUUUCAGAGGGGGAUAACGUUUUGGAAACGAAACGCUAAUACCGCAUGACAUAGUUUUAUCGCAUGGUAGAGCUAUCAAAGGAGCAAUCCGCUGAAAGAUGGGCUCGCGUCCGAUUAGAUAGUUGGUGGGGUAACGGCCUACCAAGUCGACGAUCGGUAGCCGGACUGAGAGGUUGAACGGCCACAUUGGGACUGAGACACGGCCCAGACUCCUACGGGAGGCAGCAGUGGGGAAUAUUGCACAAUGGGCGCAAGCCUGAUGCAGCAACGCCGCGUGAGGGAAGACGGUUUUCGGAUUGUAAACCUCUGUCCUUGGUGACGAAGAAUGACGGUAGCCGAGGAGGAAGCCACGGCUAACUACGUGCC
rnacentral:rRNA from 1 species